rnacentral:rRNA from 1 species
UUAGAGUUUGAUCCUGGCUCAGGAUGAACGCCGGCGGUGUGCCUAAUACAUGCAAGUCGUACGCACUGGCCCAACUGAUUGAUGGUGCUUGCACCUGAUUGACGAUGGAUCACCAGUGAGUGGCGGACGGGUGAGUAACACGUAGGUAACCUGCCCCGGAGCGGGGGAUAACAUUUGGAAACAGAUGCUAAUACCGCAUAACAACAAAAGCCACAUGGCUUUUGUUUGAAAGAUGGCUUUGGCUAUCACUCUGGGAUGGACCUGCGGUGCAUUAGCUAGUUGGUAAGGUAACGGCUUACCAAGGCGAUGAUGCAUAGCCGAGUUGAGAGACUGAUCGGCCACAAUGGAACUGAGACACGGUCCAUACUCCUACGGGAGGCAGCAGUAGGGAAUCUUCCACAAUGGGCGCAAGCCUGAUGGAGCAACACCGCGUGAGUGAAGAAGGGUUUCGGCUCGUAAAGCUCUGUUGUUGGAGAAGAACGUGCGUGAGAGUAACUGUUCACGCAGUGACGGUAUCCAACCAGAAAGUCACGGCUAACUACGUGCCAGCAGCCGCGGUAAUACGUAGGUGGCAAGCGUUAUCCGGAUUUAUUGGGCGUAAAGCGAGCGCAGGCGGUUGCUUAGGUCUGAUGUGAAAGCCUUCGCUUUACCGAAGAAGUGCAUCCAAAACCGGGCAACUGAAUUGCAAAAAAGGACGUGGAAACUCCAUGUGUAGCGGUGGAAAUGCUAAAAAUUUUGGAAGAAAAACCAUGG